rnacentral:rRNA from 1 species
GACGAACGCUGGCGGCGUGCUUAACACAUGCAAGUCGAACGGGAGUAUUGAAGAAGCUUGCUUUAGAGAUACUUUAGUGGCGGACGGGUGAGUAACGCGUGAGGAGCUGUCCUAUGCAGGGGGACAACAGCUGGAAACGGCUGCUAAUACCCCAUAAGCCGAGAGGUAAAAGGAUCAAUCCGGCAGAGGAGGUACUCGCGUCCUAUCAGCUAGUAGGUGAGGUAACGGCUCACCUAGGCGAAGACGGGUAGCCGGCCUGAGAGGGCGAACGGCCACACUGGAACUGAGAUACGGUCCAGACUCCUACGGGAGGCAGCAGUGAGGAAUAUUGGUCAAUGGGCGGAAGCCUGAACCAGCCAUGCCGCGUGCAGGAAGGAGGCCCUACGGGUUGUAAACUGCUUUUACCCGGGAAGAAACCGCCCCCUGUGGGGGCGUUGCCGGUACCGGGGAAAAGGAAGUCGGCUAACUCCGUG